GUCUCUGUGGGAAAUGAAAUGAAACUAAUUUAUGAUGAAACUUUACCCACCAGAGCAGACCCAAAAAAAGAGACUGAGUUUUGUGAGUGAGUCUGGAUUUAUGUCUCCGUGUCUCCGUGUCUACCACAGACUUUUUUAAACGUCCUUGAGAAGGACAGCGACUCCCCAGCAGCUCACUCACUGUACAUGGCUCUACAUGAGAGAAAGCGUCUGAAAUGUAAAUCAUGAGCUGGAGCUGCAGUGACGGCAGCCGGGGGGAUCUGUGCCUCCUUAUCCCACCAGGGGGAGCCAUGAGAGAGGAUUUAUUUAGGUUAUCUAUUGAUCUUUUUUUUUUUUCCCUCCACCUCAGGGGUUUCGCCAUCUGUGCAUGAAGGAGGCUGCAGAAAUAAAAAGCCUGAAGGAAGGAAGGAGGAGCAGAGGAAGACCAUAGAGACGUUUCACAGAUGUUGUGAAGGAGGACAUGAGGACAGCUGGUGUAACAGAAGAGGACACAAGGGAGAGGACAAGAUGGAGUUGGCGUGACAGAGGAAGACACAAGGGAGAGGACACAAGGGAGAGGACACAAGGGAGAGGACACAAAGGUGAAGAUGAAGGUAAAUAAUAAAACAGCCUGAAUUCUGGGAUCAAAGUCACAAUACUUAGAUGUAAUUUUAAAAAUAACAGCUGUGAUUUCCUUAUCACAGUCACACACACCCACACACACACACACACUGUGACUGAUGCUAAACACACAGUGAUGUCGUGAUGAUUCCACUGUUGAUAAAUCACUCGCUCUAUAUAUAGACGCGUUUAUAUACUGUACGACUCCAGCUCAUACAUGACGAUGUGUCCUGGUAACAGCUGCUGCGUCAGGCUGCUGUUUGUGUCCCUGCUGCGUUUACACGUGUGUUUACACGUGUUUACCCGUGUUUACACGUGUUUACACUCAAACACGUUAUUAUAUGAACACAUGAGUGAACAUGUGUUCAUGUAAUAACUGG